rnacentral:rRNA from 1 species
AGCUUGCUCUCGGGUGACGAGUGGCGGACGGGUGAGUAAUGUCUGGGAAACUGCCUGAUGGAGGGGGAUAACUACUGGAAACGGUAGCUAAUACCGCAUAACGUCGCAAGACCAAAGAGGGGGACCUUCGGGCCUCUUGCCAUCAGAUGUGCCCAGAUGGGAUUAGCUAGUAGGUGGGGUAACGGCUCACCUAGGCGACGAUCCCUAGCUGGUCUGAGAGGAUGACCAGCCACACUGGAACUGAGACACGGUCCAGACUCCUACGGGAGGCAGCAGUGGGGAAUAUUGCACAAUGGGCGCAAGCCUGAUGCAGCCAUGCCGCGUGUAUGAAGAAGGCCUUCGGGUUGUAAAGUACUUUCAGCGGGGAGGAAGGUGUUGUGGUUAAUAACCGCAGCAAUUGACGUUACCCGCAGAAGAAGCACCGGCUAACUCCGUGCCAGCAGCCGCGGUAAUACGGAGGGUGCAAGCGUUAAUCGGAAUUACUG